UCUCAGUGAUGAAAACUUUGUCCAGUUCUGCUCCUGACAGUAAGUGAUGAUGAAGUAUGUCUGAGGAGA
rnacentral:snoRNA from 1 species